AGUGAACGCUGGCGGUAGGCCUAACACAUGCAAGUCGAACGGCAGCACAGUAAGAGCUUGCUCUUACGGGUGGCGAGUGGCGGACGGGUGAGGAAUACAUCGGAAUCUACUUUUUCGUGGGGGAUAACGUAGGGAAACUUACGCUAAUACCGCAUACGACCUACGGGUGAAAGCAGGGGAUCUUCGGACCUUGCGCGAUUGAAUGAGCCGAUGUCGGAUUAGCUAGUUGGCGGGGUAAAGGCCCACCAAGGCGACGAUCCGUAGCUGGUCUGAGAGGAUGAUCAGCCACACUAGAACUGAGACACGGUCCAGACUCCUACGGGAGGCAGCAGUGGGGAAUAGUAGACAAUGGGCGCAAGCCUGAUCCAGCCAUACCGCGUGGGUGAAGAAGGCCUUCGGGUUGUAAAGCCCUUUUGUUGGGAAAGAAAAGCAGCAGGUUAAUACCCCGCUGUUCUGACGGUACCCAAAGAAUAAGCACCGGCUAACUUCGUG
rnacentral:rRNA from 1 species